CUUUUCUUUUUUCAUUUUCAUUCUCUCUCCUCAUAUUUCGCUCCUCCUCUCUCUCUCUCUCCUCUCUCUCCUGUCUCUCUUCUCAACCAAACCCAUUGAAGCUCUACACUCACCAUUCUUUUUAAUUGCAUUAACAAUGAGUGAGAUUGACAUUAUCACCAGAGUUGACGCGAUCUGCCAAAAAUACGACAAAUACGACAUCAAAAAGCAGCGCGGCUCCAAUGUCUCGGGCGACGACGCUUUUGCUCGUCUCUACUCUUCCGUCGAAUCCGACAUUGAAAUUGUGUAUAGAAAGCUGAAACAAUUGCAAAUGAGUCGAACAGGGAGUCGGUUGUGGAAAAGGUCAAUUACUUGAAGAGGUGCCUAAGUUGCAGUGAUUGACUAAAAAAAAAGGGUUAUACUUGCUGAGUUUUCUUUUGCAAAAGAAACAUGAGCGUUGCACUAUCAGGAUCAGCAAGCAUGGCAAAUGUAGUGGCUUUAACUCUGCAUCAGUGUCGUACUUAUAAGAUGAACAGUUCAAGGAAGUUACCGAAGAUAGAGGAGCUUGUUAAUUAGAGUCUAGGCUAUUAAUACUUGCAGCAUUAUCAUCAAUCUCCAUCAACGGAGCUUCAAAUAAUUUGAAAAACUGUUUGAAGUUCAGCCAUUUUUACAUGGAUGAUUUUUGUUUGGUUAAUUUGGCUUGUUAUUGUCGCAACAGAAUUUAGGUCUUUUAUUUCAAAACUUAUCCAACUUUAUAUUAACUUGCAUUGUUCAUAAAACUAUAGUCCUACAAUGUCUAAAUUGCAGACAAAU